UGUCACGGCUGACCCCGAACCAGUUAUUAUGUGUAGUAAGAAAUUGGAUUCCUUUGCAUGGAGAAUUUCAGUGGCUAGAGUUCACGGCUCCUCGAUUGAUUCAGAUUCAGUUGUAUUAAGUCUGCCCACUAAUAAUGUAGAGCAAAAUAGGUAUUGUGGUGUUUGCAGAGCCGACCCGAGCUGAACCCAAGACAGAAGUGGAGUCCUGCUGGGAACGAGCUGAAACAUUGGACACGGACUGGAUGAUUUAAAAAUGAAAUGUAUUAAUGAGAUGAUAUGUGCUGUAACCAUUUGUAAUGUUUGAAUAAUCUUUAGUCUGUAACAAAUACUGUAAAGUGCUCUCUCUGUAAGACCGAAAAACAGAAUCUGGUACAACUUGAUACACUGGCCGGCCUUGAGCAGUCUCUUAUUAAAAUUGGCACGAUUCCCAGAAUUUAGUGCUGAAAUCUCUGUUAAGACUUUUCAGCUUGACUACAGAAUAAUGCUGUACUAAUAGAUGUAUGUUAAUAUGCUUGUUUUAAAUGGUAUAGAUUGCUGUGGUAACAUAUAAUCAUAGGUAGUGAUAAUUAUUGUUAGUAUGAAAUACUAUGAACAAUUUUUAUGUAUAAGAUCAUAUGAUUCACUUUGCUUAAUAUGAUAGCAUGCCUGAAGCUGUUUUCUAUCAAGAUGAGCAUAGUUAAAAACUGAGUCCUAAUUCAAUGAAAAGAAUUACUGUGUGCUUACAUUCAAGAAUUAUAACUUCUGAAUAUAAAGGGAAAAGGAGUUAGGAGUAUUCUUAAGGGAAAGAGAAAAACAGAAAAGGAUUAAAAGACCUCGCUUUGAGUAGGUUUCUGUUUGUAAUUCAGUUUUAAAAUAAGUAGGUGAGUAAGAACAACCUAGAGUAAAAGCAGACUCUAACUUAAGAAAAUAAGCAUUGUCAGAAGAUACACCACAAAUAGAGAGUAGGGAAAUUGAAUAAGAACCUAUUGUAAAAUUGCUGAUAUACUGCUGCAGAAAGUAAUAAGGUUAGCAGCCAUACGCUAUAAGAAGUAAUGUACUAGUUUGACUCUGAAGUUAAAAGACGCAGCAUAAAAAGAUGUUGUGUUUAAAAUGCAAAAUAAAAGGAUUGAAUAAAUAAUGAAGAAUAAAAGCAGGAGAUAGGUUUUAGGAGAGUAAACUCUAUGUGACCUGUCUUCUUGAACUCUCUAUCAGCCUGCCCUUGGAGAAAUUAAUAUUAGCUGCUGGAAGGCCUCUUUGGUGGGAAGAAGCCGGAAUUUUUUUAUCAGAAGGCUUAUAGUAUCGGGCCGGACUGCAAAAAUAGGGAGUUAGAACGGAUGGUCUUAGCACUUAAGAUAGUUAGUUGUCGGGCGGAACAAGCACGUAAGAUACAGGUGUAAGGAAAGUUCUAGGGAACAUUAAUCACUAUUAAACUUGGCAAGAAAAGAGGUGUCUCCAGCAAGCUGGUUUUAGCCAGUAUGUGUAUAGCUGAAACAUACAGGGUCAUCUGGAUGUCAAUUAAGUUCAAGCUACCAGGGGCCCAUAGGAGAAAAACAUUACAGCUUUACAGCUCAGUAAAAUAGUUAGGUUUUCCAUAAGGAGAAAACUCUACAUUAAAAAGAUAUAAGAUGGAAGUUCCCUAUAAUACCUGCUAAACACACACCUGUAAGGAAAGAAUGAAAUUAAUUUGAGAGUGAGAUGACAUGAGGGAAUAUAUUUUUGAAAGCCAAGUUCAUGUAAUCAAUUAUAAUCAUUAUAACUAUAACUGCUAUAUUAUGAUAUAACUAUUGGUGUUGCAUAUAUUUAAAACACCACUCCUUUUUAUAAUGCACCCAUAUUAAGUAGUGAAUCAAGGUUGCAGGGAUUUUGUGAACUCUGCUUCACCUAACUUUUCAGAUGAAGGAGGGGGGCCAAGAAUGAGUGGAUGAGAACAUGGGCUAGUGUUGAUUUAUUAAAUGUUGUUGAUUUGUUGGCAUAUGACCUUAAUUGAGUCUGAGGAGUUGGUUGAAUUCUUUAGAGAUUACUGUUUGCCAAGAGAUAAGGACUGUCAAUAUAGAUUGAUGACUGGAUCUAAUUGGGGCUUCCCAUUGCUUUCAAUGGGACGAAAAUUGUAUAAAAACCCUGGGCCGAUCACACUGAGACCACCACAAUCAAGCUUGGCAGAGCUAUGUGUGGUCCAUCCUUUGCAGAUCUCCACAGAACAGUCCUUCUCUUUUGUUCACGCUACUCUUCCUUAUAAUAGGAGAGCCGACCCGAGCUGAACCCAAGACAGAAGUGGAGUCCUGCUGGGAACGAGCUGAAACAUUGGACACGGACUGGAUGAUUUAAAAAUGAAAUGUAUUAAUGAGAUGAUAUGUGCUGUAACCAUUUGUAAUGUUUGAAUAAUCUUUAGUCUGUAACAAAUACUGUAAAGUGCUCUCUCUGUAAGACCGAAAAACAGAAUCUGGUACAACUUGAUACACUGGCCGGCCUUGAGCAGUCUCUUAUUAAAAUUGGCACGAUUCCCAGAAUUUAGUGCUGAAAUCUCUGUUAAGACUUUUCAGCUUGACUACAGAAUAAUGCUGUACUAAUAGAUGUAUGUUAAUAUGCUUGUUUUAAAUGGUAUAGAUUGCUGUGGUAACAUAUAAUCAUAGGUAGUGAUAAUUAUUGUUAGUAUGAAAUACUAUGAACAAUUUUUAUGUAUAAGAUCAUAUGAUUCACUUUGCUUAAUAUGAUAGCAUGCCUGAAGCUGUUUUCUAUCAAGAUGAGCAUAGUUAAAAACUGAGUCCUAAUUCAAUGAAAAGAAUUACUGUGUGCUUACAUUCAAGAAUUAUAACUUCUGAAUAUAAAGGGAAAAGGAGUUAGGAGUAUUCUUAAGGGAAAGAGAAAAACAGAAAAGGAUUAAAAGACCUCGCUUUGAGUAGGUUUCUGUUUGUAAUUCAGUUUUAAAAUAAGUAGGUGAGUAAGAACAACCUAGAGUAAAAGCAGACUCUAACUUAAGAAAAUAAGCAUUGUCAGAAGAUACACCACAAAUAGAGAGUAGGGAAAUUGAAUAAGAACCUAUUGUAAAAUUGCUGAUAUACUGCUGCAGAAAGUAAUAAGGUUAGCAGCCAUACGCUAUAAGAAGUAAUGUACUAGUUUGACUCUGAAGUUAAAAGACGCAGCAUAAAAAGAUGUUGUGUUUAAAAUGCAAAAUAAAAGGAUUGAAUAAAUAAUGAAGAAUAAAAGCAGGAGAUAGGUUUUAGGAGAGUAAACUCUAUGUGACCUGUCUUCUUGAACUCUCUAUCAGCCUGCCCUUGGAGAAAUUAAUAUUAGCUGCUGGAAGGCCUCUUUGGUGGGAAGAAGCCGGAAUUUUUUUAUCAGAAGGCUUAUAGUAUCGGGCCGGACUGCAAAAAUAGGGAGUUAGAACGGAUGGUCUUAGCACUUAAGAUAGUUAGUUGUCGGGCGGAACAAGCACGUAAGAUACAGGUGUAAGGAAAGUUCUAGGGAACAUUAAUCACUAUUAAACUUGGCAAGAAAAGAGGUGUCUCCAGCAAGCUGGUUUUAGCCAGUAUGUGUAUAGCUGAAACAUACAGGGUCAUCUGGAUGUCAAUUAAGUUCAAGCUACCAGGGGCCCAUAGGAGAAAAACAUUACAGCUUUACAGCUCAGUAAAAUAGUUAGGUUUUCCAUAAGGAGAAAACUCUACAUUAAAAAGAUAUAAGAUGGAAGUUCCCUAUAAUACCUGCUAAACACACACCUGUAAGGAAAGAAUGAAAUUAAUUUGAGAGUGAGAUGACAUGAGGGAAUAUAUUUUUGAAAGCCAAGUUCAUGUAAUCAAUUAUAAUCAUUAUAACUAUAACUGCUAUAUUAUGAUAUAACUAUUGGUGUUGCAUAUAUUUAAAACACCACUCCUUUUUAUAAUGCACCCAUAUUAAGUAGUGAAUCAAGGUUGCAGGGAUUUUGUGAACUCUGCUUCACCUAACUUUUCAGAUGAAGGAGGGGGGCCAAGAAUGAGUGGAUGAGAACAUGGGCUAGUGUUGAUUUAUUAAAUGUUGUUGAUUUGUUGGCAUAUGACCUUAAUUGAGUCUGAGGAGUUGGUUGAAUUCUUUAGAGAUUACUGUUUGCCAAGAGAUAAGGACUGUCAAUAUAGAUUGAUGACUGGAUCUAAUUGGGGCUUCCCAUUGCUUUCAAUGGGACGAAAAUUGUAUAAAAACCCUGGGCCGAUCACACUGAGACCACCACAAUCAAGCUUGGCAGAGCUAUGUGUGGUCCAUCCUUUGCAGAUCUCCACAGAACAGUCCUUCUCUUUUGUUCACGCUACUCUUCCUUAUAAUAGGAGGUAAGCAUAUUAAUGGUAUUAUUGUAUCUCGCAUUUAUUGGUUAUAUUGCUAUGAGGUUUUGAAACAAUGUUUUAGUAUUAAGAGUGUUAUAUUGAAUGUGCUAAAAAAUAGCAGUGGGUGCUUGUAGGCUUUGUGCUUAACCAGCCUGAGGGCUGCACUGAAUACAUAUAAUUGUAUUAUGUUAUUGAAGUAUUAAAUGCUGAAGCUUGUAAUAAACUUAGGAUUGCUAAUUAUUGUUACAUGUUUUCGGGUUUUGGUAGUAUGCGCAAACUACUAAACCAAUAUUAAAGGCAUUUUAAUAAAACGAAGGAGCGCUGAUGUUGCUCUGAUUCGUGAAACUUUGAAUAAA